AGAGCAGCUCUCUGAUCUCGUGGCUUCCCUUCAUUCCCCUCUUUCCCUACUCUCCUUUCGUGUAAAAACUUCCACGGUUGCUCCGCAUCUGUCGGCUGCUUUUUGAUCUUGCAAAGAAAUCAACUCCUUCAGCCAUGAAGUACCAAAUCGCAAGUGUCGUGGCCGCUGCCGCGCUGUUCGGCGGCGCCGCUGCUGUGUCGUGCAGCGACAAGUACCCGCAGUCGUCCGCGUUCUUCGGCUCGAUGGGUUGCGCGUCCGCGCUGAUAUUUGCCAACCUGGGCUCUGCCUACGGCACGGCGAAGUCUGGCGUCGGCGUUGCGCACCUGGGCAUCCUGCACGCCGAACGCAUCAUGCGUGGCAUCGUUCCGGUAGUCAUGGCUGGCAUCCUUGGUAUCUACGGGCUGAUCGUGUCCGUGAUCAUCAACAACAACAUCAAGGCGGACGACAACUCGUACUCCGCGUUUGCGGGCUACUUGCACUUUGGCGCUGGUCUGGCCGCCGGCCUGUCGUCUCUUGCGGCCGGCCUGUCGAUCGGGAUUGCGGGCGAUGCGUCUGUGCGCGCGUACGGCAAGCAGGAGAAGAUCUUUGUCGCCAUGAUUCUGAUGCUGAUUUUUGCGGAGGCUCUGGGCCUGUACGGCCUGAUCAUCGCGCUUCUGAUGAACAACACGGCUGGCAAGGUGGCUGCUGGUUGUCAGUAAGCGUAGCAGCUGGUAUGUGUAUUGCUGCGCAGCGUGUGUUUCGUGCUCGCUUUUCCAUGACCGCUGAUGUGGGUUCGUGUCGCUCUGUCUCAAGUGUUAGUGUGCCUUUGAGCGCACACAAGGGUGCGCUGUGCAUGACCGGCAUCUCUCUUCCUCUGUUGGUGGGUAUUUGGGUACGCGAGUGAUAGCGAUGGUGAUGCUGCGAUACAUUAAAUGACAUUAUGUUUUUUCGGCAGUGCUAGUUUUGUCGGUCACACCCGUCGUCCCUGCUCACUCCUGGCCGUUUCCAGCCACCCCUACAGCGGGUCUCUCGUUGCCAUUGCACACGAUGUGUUCUGACACACGAAGAGGAGCGACAACCACACAUGCGUCGGUAGGCAGGCAGACGGCGGCCCACUGACGUGUACGUGUGUUCUUUAAUCUCUCUAUAUCUCUUUUUCUUUUUGGUGGUGAAAGGAAGAAAAGAAUGCCUUAAUGUGCUUCGAUGUCGGUUUUUUUUUUUGUGGAUUGUGUGCUCCCUUGGUGGCUUCUCUCGGUCUUCCAUCCACCACCACCUCUUUGUCCUUUCCCCCCUUUUUACGCAACGUGCCGAUCGUACAGAAUGGAAGAGAGAGGGGAGACAAGAGGGGAAAGGGAGGCGAAGGGGACGAAAACGGGGAUGAAGAGACGCGCACGUAAAGAAGGUACGCGUGUGUGUGGCUAAGUAUGGCCCUCGCUCUCUCCCUCUCUUUGUGGCUAUUUUAUUCCUCUUGUUGGUUGUCGUUGUGUGUGUGUUUGCCAACAAUAUUUAUCGUACUAGCUUCUAUCUAGGUGUCGGUGCCUCUCGUGUACGUUUUAUGGGCUGUUGGCGUCUACAUCUCGCCCUCUCUAUUUUUGUUCUCCAUUCGAAUGACCGAAGUAGGCAAACGAAACGAGAUGCGAAG
rnacentral:misc_RNA from 1 species